rnacentral:rRNA from 1 species
GGCGAACGGGUGAGUAACACGUGAGCAACCUGCCCCGAAGACUGGGAUAACAGCGGGAAACCGCUGCUAAUACCGGAUGCCCCCACCGGGUCGCAUGGCCUGGUGAGGAAAUGGAUUCCGCUUCGGGAGGGGCUCGCGGCCUAUCAGCUUGUUGGUGGGGUAACGGCCUACCAAGGCGACGACGGGUAGCUGGUCUGAGAGGACGAUCAGCCACACGGGAACUGAGACACGGCCCAGACUCCUACGGGAGGCAGCAGUGGGGAAUAUUGCGCAAUGGGCGAAAGCCUGACGCAGCAACGCCGCGUGAGGGAUGAAGGCCUUCGGGUUGUAAACCUCUUUCGAGCAGGGACGAUUAUGACGGUACCUGCAGAAGAAGCUCCGGCCAACUACGUGCCAGCAGCCGCGG